GGGGGCAUAGCUCAGUGGUAGAGUGCGGUGCUUAGCAUGCACGAGGUCCUGGGUUCAAUCCCUGGUACCUCCA
rnacentral:tRNA from 1 species